UACCUUCUCUGAACACCAGAUGGCAUGAGAUCAUUGGUCAUAUCUGGGCCACUGUAUCAGAAAAAUUGUCAUUCAAGAGCAAAUGUGAACCUUUCGAAGACGCAGACACCCAUUCUGUAACACACCGUCACUCGUUGAGUUUUGGUAGCUUGCGGAUGUCCUGCAGGAAGAAGGUGAUUGAUGCGGCUGCAGGCUCCACCCACUGCCUGGCUCUGACUGAGGACAGCGAGGUCCACAGCUGGAGGAGCAACGACCAGUGCCAGCACUUUGACACCUUGCGCGUGACCAAGCCAGAACCUGCAGCAUUGCCAGGACUGGAUGCCAAACACAUAGUGGGAAUUACCUGUGGGCCUGCCCAGGAGUAGGGCAUGGCCCGAAAACUUAAUUCAAGGAAAGAAAUUCUGUUGGAGACUAAGGCAAUGUAGUUCAAGUUUGUAGCCUCCUGGUGAUUCGAUUUGACCAAGGCUAAAAUUUGUAAUACCCAGAGGAGUGACAGCCUUCAAAUGAUUUUCUGUAAGUAUUAAAGUUGAGGUGUUUAUUAAAUGUCCACUUCUGUUUGGUGACACUUUAAGAUUUUCUAGUUAUUUUGAAGACUCAUAAAAUUCUAAAAAAAAAAACUUAGUAAAAAAUAGUUUCCUCAAAAUAAAUAUAUUGCUCACAAUUUUAAUGACUCAGCGUUAAAGGUAACAAGGAAAGGGGAAUUAUCUGUCUUAAACUAUUUGUAAUUGAUAAAUAAGAGGUUAAAUUUUUCCCUGCAGACUUUUAUUAUUGAGCCAUUAUUCAAUUAUGAGAAAGAGUAAAGUGAAAUGUUUGCCAAGUACUUAUGAUAUGACAGAUAUAGUGCCAGGUUAUUUUACAUAUUGUAUAUCACUAAAUGUCAGAAUUAAACUUGUGAAAAUCA